AACGAACGCUGGCGGCAGGCUUAACACAUGCAAGUCGAGCGCCCCGCAAGGGGAGCGGCAGACGGGUGAGUACCGCGUGGGAACGUACCUUUUGGUUCGGAACAACUCCGGGAAACUGGAGCUAAUACCGGAUAAGCCCUAACGGGGAAAGAUUUAUCGCCGAAAGAUCGGCCCGCGUCUGAUUAGCUAGUUGGUGAGGUAACGGCUCACCAAGGCGACGAUCAGUAGCUGGUCUGAGAGGAUGAUCAGCCACACUGGGACUGAGACACGGCCCAGACUCCUACGGGAAGCAGCAGUGGGGAAUAUUGGACAAUGGGCGCAAGCCUGAUCCAGCCAUGCCGCGUGAGUGAUGAAGGCCUUAGGGUUGUAAAGCUCUUUUGUCCGGGAAGAUAAUGACUGUACCGGAAGAAUAAGCCCCGGCUAACUUCGUG
rnacentral:rRNA from 1 species